UAUGAUCGUUCUUCUUACAGCCAGUUCCACGAUAUCAAAAGAACACGUUCGCACAACUUUUACACGACAAACAGGUGAUUUCCGUUCCACUAAAAUCUAUCAGAACGAAAACGUAAGCAUUUCAGUGUAAUUUUGCGUUCCACUAUCUUUUUUCUUUCGUACGCAUGCGAACACAAAUGUCAAAAUCAGUCACUUGUGUGUUUGCUAUCGUAUAAUAACAAUUAAGGAAAAUUGUUUUAACAUAAACAUUGCUUGAUUGAAAAUGGAAACAAAAAUCACGAAAAAAAAACAGCUGCGGGCACUAGUUGAGUAAAUGGAGGAGAAUCCUGUGUUCGCCAGAGGAAUGCCAAUUUUUGGAAGCAGCAGAAGAAGUUUUAAAUCGGGGCGGGUUUGGGUAGUUCUGCAACCAGGCACCCACUUCUCUUCCAUCAUAUCCAAAAGAGCCCGAAAACUUUCUUCGACACACGAAAGUUGGCCACAAACCUAGAAAAAAUCAUUUUUUAUUAUUUCAAAAAUGUAAAAAUACAAUCAUACUUACUGGUUGUUAGGUACUUCAAAUAAAUUCGAAGCAUCUCUUAAA